AUUGAACGCUGGCGGCAUGCCUUACACAUGCAAGUCGAACGGCAGCACGGGAGCAAUCCUGGUGGCGAGUGGCGAACGGGUGGGUAAAGUAUCGGAACGUGCCCAGUCGUGGGGGAUGACGUAGCGAAAGUUACGCUAAUACCGCAUACGAUCUAUGGAUGAAAGCGGGGGAUCGCAAGACCUCGAGCGCUUGGAGCGGCCGAUAUCAGAUUAGGUAGUUGGUGGGGUAAAGGCCCACCAAGCCGACGAUCUGUAGCUGGUCUGAGAGGACGACCAGCCACACUGGGACUGAGACACGGCCCAGACUCCUACGGGAGGCAGCAGUGGGGAAUUUUGGACAAUGGGCGAAAGCCUGAUCCAGCCAUGCCGCGUGCAGGAUGAAGGCCUUCGGGUUGUAAACUGCUUUUGUACGGAACGAAAAGGACUGCCCUAAUACGGUGGUCCCAUGACGGUACCGUAAGAAUAAGCACCGGCUAACUACGUGCCAGCCGCCGCCGUAAUAC
rnacentral:rRNA from 1 species